AACGAACGCUGGCGGCAUGCCUAAUACAUGCAAGUCGAACGCUCGGGAGCGAUCCCGGGAGUGGCGGACGGGUGAGUAACGCGUGGGAACCUGCCCUUGAGUGCGGGAUAACCGAGGGAAACUUCGGCUAAUACCGCAUGCGCCCGGAGCAAUCCGGGGAAAGAUUUAUCGCUCAAGGAGGGGCCCGCGUCGGAUUAGCUAGUUGGUGGGGUAACGGCCUACCAAGGCGAUGAUCCGUAGCUGGUCUGAGAGGAUGAUCAGCCACACUGG
rnacentral:rRNA from 1 species